AAUGAACGCUGGCGGCGCGCCUAAUACAUGCAAGUCGAGCGAGAAGACGUAGCAAUACGUUUGUAAAGCGGCGAACGGGUGAGGAAUACAUGGGUAACCUACCCUCGAGUGGGGAAUAACUAGCCGAAAGGUUAGCUAAUACCGCGUACGCUCCUUGGACUUCGGUUCAGGGAGGAAAGCGAUACCGUGGGUAUCGCGCUCUUGGUUGGGCUCAUGUCCUAUCAGCUUGUUGGUGAGGAACGGCUCACCAAGGCUUCGACGGGUAGCUGGUCUGAGAGGACGAUCAGCCACACUGGCACUGCGACACGGGCCAGACUCCUACGGGAGGCAGCAGUAAGGAAUAUUGCGCAAUGGGCGAAAGCCUGACGCAGCGACGCCGCGUGGGGGAUGAAGGUCUUCGGAUUGUAAACCCCUUUCGGGAGGGAAGAUGGAACGAGCAAUCGUUCGGACGGUACCUCCACGAAGCAGCCACGGCUAACUUCGUGCCAGCAGCCGCCGU
rnacentral:rRNA from 1 species